rnacentral:rRNA from 1 species
AUGUCGUCGAGAGCGCCGCCGGUGGAGCUCGACUUCCUCGGCCUCCGCGCCGCCGCCCCCAGCGAACAACACGGCAAGAGCACCGGCUCCUCCUCCUUGUCGUCCAUCCGAGGGAUGGAGACGAGCGCUAUAGCGAGGAUAGACCCCCAGCUCCUGCGCCGCGUCGUCGUCGCCCGCUCGCCGGCGACGACGGAAGAGGCGCCGGCGGCUCCCAGUCCCAUGACGGUCUUCUACAACGGCUCCGUUGCCAUCUUCGAUGUCUCCCACCACAAGGCAGAAGCUAUAAUGCAGAUGGCAAGGGACGUAACUAUGGCAGAAAGGCGCGACCUCGGCAACAAUACACCUGUUGGAAAUUCAAGCAAAGACAUACCAUUGGCAAGAACAAAAUCGUUACAGCAGUUCCUAGUGAAGCGUAAAGAGAGGUUGACCCGCAUGGGUCCAUACCAUCCCGGCGCCACCACCGUCAGCACCAACUCUCUUGGUGUGAAGAAGGAAGCGGAAGCAGCCUAG